rnacentral:tRNA from 1 species
UCCCAGGUGGUCUAGUGGUUAGGAUUUGGCGCUCUCACCGCCACCGCCGGGGUUCGAUUCCCCGUCUGGGAA